rnacentral:tRNA from 1 species
GGAGGGGUCGCAUAGUGGUCUAGUGCACUCGCUUGGAAAGCGAGCAUACCGCAAGGUAUCGGAGGUUCGAAUCCUCUCCCCUCCGCCA